rnacentral:rRNA from 1 species
UACGAGGGGUGCAAGCGUUGCUCGGAAUUAUUGGGCGUAAAGGGUAGGUAGGUGGUCUCAUUUGUCUGAUGUGAAAGCCUUGGGCUUAACCCAAGAAGUGCGUCAGAAACGGUGAGACUGGAGUCUUGGAGAGGGUCGUGGAAUUCCCGGUGUAGCGGUGAAAUGCGUAGAGAUCGGGAGGAACACCAGAGGCGAAGGCGGCAUCCUGGCCCUUACCUGACGCUGAGGCGCGAGAGCGUGGGGAGCAAACCGG